AACACGUGAGUAACCUGCCCCUGACUCUGGGAUAAGCGUUGGAAACGACGUCUAAUACUGGAUAUGACUACUGGCCGCAUGGUCUGGUGGUGGAAAGAUUUUUUGGUUGGGGAUGGACUCGCGGCCUAUCAGCUUGUUGGUGAGGUAAUGGCUCACCAAGGCGACGACGGGUAGCCGGCCUGAGAGGGUGACCGGCCACACUGGGACUGAGACACGGCCCAGACUCCUACGGGAGGCAGCAGUGGGGAAUAUUGCACAAUGGGCGAAAGCCUGAUGCAGCAACGCCGCGUGAGGGAUGACGGCCUUCGGGUUGUAAACCUCUUUUAGUAGGGAAGAAGGGAGCUUGCUCUUGACGGUACCUGCAGAAAAAGCACCGGCUAACUACGUGCCAGCAGCCGCGGUAAUACGUAGGGUGCAAGCGUUGUCCGGAAUUAUUGGGCGUAAAGAGCUCGUAGGCGGUUUGUCGCGUCUGCUGUGAAAUCCCGAGGCUCAACCUCGGGCUUGCAGUGGGUACGGGCAGACUAGAGUGCGGUAGGGGAGAUUGGAAUUCCUGGUGUAGCGGUGGAAUGCGCAGAUAUCAGGAGGAACACCGAUGGCGAAGGCAGAUCUCUGGGCCGUAACUGACGCUGAGGAGCGAAAGCAUGGGGAGCGAACAGGAUUAGAUACCCUGGUAGUCCAUGCCGUAAACGUUGGGCGCUAGAUGUAGG
rnacentral:rRNA from 1 species